rnacentral:rRNA from 1 species
UAGGGAAUCUUCGGCAAUGGACGAAAGUCUGACCGAGCAACGCCGCGUGAGUGAAGAAGGUUUUCGGAUCGUAAAACUCUGUUGUUAGAGAAGAACAAGGACGUUAGUAACUGAACGUCCCCUGACGGUAUCUAACCAGAAAGCCACGGCUAACUACGUGCCAGCAGCCGCGGUAAUACGUAGGUGGCAAGCGUUGUCCGGAUUUAUUGGGCGUAAAGCGAGCGCAGGCGGUUUCUUAAGUCUGAUGUGAAAGCCCCCGGCUCAACCGGGGAGGGUCAUUGGAAACUGGGAGGCUGGAGUGCAGAAGAGGAGAGUGGAAUUCCAUGUGUAGCGGUGAAAUGCGUAGAUAUAUGGAGGAACACCAGUGGCGAAGGCGGCUCUCUGGUCUGUAACUGACGCUGAGGCUCGAAAGCGUGGGGAGCAAACAGG